rnacentral:rRNA from 1 species
GUCAUGGCUCAGGGUGAACGCUGGCGGCGUGCCUAAGACAUGCAAGUCGAGCGGGGCAGGUUUAUACCUGUUCAGCGGCGGACGGGUGAGUAACGCGUGGGUGACCUACCCGGAAGAGGCGGACAACCUGGGGAAACCCAGGCUAAUCCGCCAUGUGGUCCUGUCCUGUGGGGCAGGACUAAAGGGUGGAUAGCCCGCUUCCGGAUGGGCCCGCGUCCCAUCAGCUAGUUGGUGAGGUAACGGCUCACCAAGGCGACG